CACGGCAGCACAGAGGAGCUUGCUCCUUGGGUGGCGAGUGGCGGACGGGUGAGGAAUACAUCGGAAUCUGCCCAGUCGUGGGGGAUAACUCAGGGAAACUUAAGCUAAUACCGCAUACGACCUACGGGUGAAAGCAGGGGAUCGCAAGACCUUGCGCGAUUGGAUGAGCCGAUGUCGGAUUAGCUUGUUGGCGGGGUAACGGCCCACCAAGGCGACGAUCCGUAGCUGGUCUGAGAGGAUGAUCAGCCACACUGGAACUGAGACACGGUCCAGACUCCUACGGGAGGCAGCAGUGGGGAAUAUUGGACAAUGGGCGCAAGCCUGAUCCAGCCAUGCCGCGUGAGUGAAGAAGGCCCUCGGGUUGUAAAGCUCUUUUGUCCGGAAAGAAAUCCUGUCGGCUAAUACCCGGCGGGGAUGACGGUACCGGAAGAAUAAGCACCGGCUAACUUCGUGCCAGCAGCCGCGGUAAUACGAAGGGUGCAAGCGUUACUCGGAAUUACUGGGCGUAAAGCGUGCGUAGGUGGUUCGUUAAGUCUGAUGUGAAAGCCCUGGGCUCACCUGGGAAUGGCAUUGGAUACUGGCGGGCUAAAGUACGGU
rnacentral:rRNA from 1 species